UCCACCGCUUUGUCAGUGGUCUGCCGUUC
rnacentral:piRNA from 1 species